CCAGCAAACAGUUGGUUGAGUCAGGUCAAGGUCUAGCAGUGAAAGCUUUGGGAAAAAAUGUCUUCCCUGGAGUUUUACAGCUAGAUAAGUCAGGCACUCUCAGAUACUCUUUGGUGA
rnacentral:miRNA from 1 species